UCAGGAUGAACGCUGGCGGCGUGCUAACACAUGCAAGUCGAACGGGGAGUAUAUUGGAAUGAGGAUUCGUCUGAAAGGAAAAUGUAUCUUAGUGGCGGACGGGUGAGUAACGCGUGGGCAACCUACCGUAUACAGGGGGAUAACACUUAGAAAUAGGUGCUAAUACCGCAUAAGCGCACAGCAGUGCAUACUGGAGUGUGAAAAGCCGAGACGGUAUACGAUGGGCCCGCGUCUGAUUAGCCAGUUGGCAGGGUAACGGCCUACCAAAGCGACGAUCAGUAGCCGGCCUGAGAGGGCGGACGGCCACAUUGGGACUGAGACACGGCCCAGACUCCUACGGGAGGCAGCAGUGGGGGAUAUUGCACAAUGGGGGGAACCCGUGAUGCAGCGACGCCGCGUGAGUGAAGAAGUAAUUCGUUAUGUAAAGCUCUAUCAGCAGGGAAGAAUAAAUGACGGUACCUGAGUAAGAAGCCCCGGCUAACUACGUG
rnacentral:rRNA from 1 species